rnacentral:rRNA from 1 species
AUACGGAAGGUCCGGGCGUUAUCCGGAUUUAUUGGGUUUAAAGGGAGCGCAGGCGGCCUUUUAAGCGUGACGUGAAAUGUAGGCGCUCAACGUCUGAAUUGCGUCGCGAACUGUUAGGCUUGAGUAGACGGAAUGUCGGCGGAAUUCGUGGUGUAGCGGUGAAAUGCUUAGAUAUCACGAAGAACUCCGAUUGCGAAGGCAGCUGACAGCAGUUUUACUGACGCUCAUGCUCGAAAGUGCGGGUAUCGAACAGGAUUAGAUACCCUGGUAGUCCGCACGGUAAACGAUGGAUGCCCGCUGUUUGCCUUUUUGGUAAGCGGCCAAGCGAAAGCAUUAAGCAUCCCACCUGGGGAGUACGCCGGCAACGGUGAAACUCAAAGGAAUUGACGGGG